UUAGUAGAGUUGGUCAUGCCUCUGGUAUGUACUGGUCUCACUCCAUUCCUCCUUCCUGAUGAACCGUAAUGCCAUUAAUUUGGUGUUGCGGGGAAUUUGGACUGUUACUUUGAAAAAAUUAGAGUGUUUAAAGCAAGCUAACGCUUGAAUACAUUAGCAUGGAAUAAUGAAAUAGGACGUUCGAUCCUAUUUUGUUGGUUUCUAGGAUUGACCUAAUGAUUAAUACGGAUGGUUGCGA
rnacentral:rRNA from 1 species